UUAGAUCCGGUGCGGCGGCAGACCCCCGGGCCCGGGGAACGAACGAAAACUUACCCUACUCUCUUUAUUAGCACAAAUCUGGCAACGUCGGAGUGCGAUUUUUCUAAUGCCCGCGUAUAUGAGCUAUGUACACAUAAAAUAUAUAAUAUAUGUGUACAAUACGUAAUUUCACACACACGACCAAAGUGCGCGAUGGCUUAUAAAUAUUAUAACUUGCGAUAAAUAAACAACGAAUUUUCAAACUCCAUUAAAUUGUGAAAACGUUGAAUUUUCAUUGCCGCCGUGGUUUUAAAAAUAUUAAAGCUGUGACAGUCAAUAAUCUUUAUAACAGUACCUACUCCAAAACAAAAGAUUAUUACCUAUGAGCCACAAAAUUUCAAAAUCAUCACAUAUAUAGCUGCUGAUUGCUGAGCCAUAUCUUAUUACUGCACGCACAGUAUAAUAUAUCCGAUAUACAUAUAAUAUCGUUAGAUAUUAGCCAUUAUAAGUGAGGUAGGAACACAUCAAUGAAACAUGAUAUGUGAAAAUCGAAUAUUCAACGACGUACAAGUGCACGCACAAAAAAUUCAUCAGGUGACUAUACGAUGAGUAUUGUCGGCGGAAUUCGAAACGCAUUAAAAUUACACGACUCAACACAAAAACACGAGCACGGUGGGCUUGGACAUAUUAAAUGUGUAGGUUAUUUAGUUAACAUAUUUUUUACAUGCGUAUACAUAAUAAUGUUCAACUGUUGCGCGUUUUCGGUGAUGACAAAAUAGUCGUACGGACUAAUGCGUAUAGACACAAUAUACCGUAAUACAUUGUGAUAGUGCUUUUACACCUUGUAUAACGUGUUAGGUUAGUAUACUAUAGUAUAUUAGGUAUAUUAAUUAUCAAAAUUAAAAAAAUGUAUCAAAACGAUCUAUAAUACGCGUAAACAUGUAAUAAACAAUAAUAUUAUAAUAUCAUUAUACAGGUAGGUAUACUGUAUUAUUGUGGUAGGUAUACUUACGUUGACGUUAAGAACGGAUGGGAUUUUCUUAUUGUUGCUC